AGGAGCCAAGGAGCUCAGAAACCAGACCAGCCUCAGCUCUUCUAAAACUCCAGGUAGACAGUGUCCAACAUGAGCUGCACCUACGAGUCGAAAAUGGAGAAGACAAGCAUGACUGAAGGGCCUCACUCCCCUCAGCUUCACACUGUGAUCAAGCACAAGGAGGUCCAUGAGGAAGAGGAGAAGCCACGCCACGGAAUCUUCGGCCGGCCAAGGAACAAGGAGUGGUCUGAAGAGGAGACCUAUGAAAUCUCUGAGACAACCUACGCAGGCGACAUGGGCAUGCAAGGAGGAGAGUGCAUCAGGCGCAAGGAGUAUAUAUGAGACCAUACAUCAAGGCAGCUUGAGAGCAUCAUCUAUCUAUAGUUCUGUGAUGAUGGAUGCCAUGGCUUGGCAUCUUUAUAUAUAGAAUAAAUCUCUGGCUUAUCUACUGUAUAUCCAUAUGAAUAAUACUAUACUUCUCUAGUACUCAAGGUAUAGCUCUAUACUUUAGCCUACUACAUUCACUCUUGAUAUCUUUAGUACGCGCGUGUUUUCAG
rnacentral:lncRNA from 1 species